rnacentral:rRNA from 1 species
CCAAUAGCGUAUAUUAAAGUUGUUGCAGUUAAAAAGCUCGUAGUUGAAUUUCGGAAUCUGUCCGCUGGUCGGGCUUCACUGUCCGUACUGGUGUGAUGGGUUCUUACCUUCUGAAUAACCAGCAUGCCAUUCACUUGGUGCGCUGGGGAAGCAGGACUAUUACCUUGAAAAAAUUAGAGUGCUCAAAGCAGGCUAGUGCCUGAAUACAUUAGCAUGGAAUAAUAAAAUAGGACGGCAUGGUUCUAUUUUGUUGGUUUCUAGGAUCACCGUAAUGAUUAAUAGGGUUAGUUGGGGGCAUUAGUAUUCAAUUGUCAGAGGUGAAAUUCUUGGCUUUAUUGAAGACUAACUUCUGCGAAAGCAUUUGCCAAGGAUGUUUUCAUUAAUCAAGAACGAAAGUUAGGGGAUCGAAGACGAUCAGAUACCGUCGUAGUCUUAACCAUAAACUAUGCCGACUAGGGAUCGGACGAUGUUAAUUUUUUAAUGACUCGUUCGGCGCCUUACG